rnacentral:rRNA from 1 species
UGGGGAAUAUUGGACAAUGCGCGAAAGCCUGAUCCAGCCAUGCCGCGUGUGUGAAGAAGGCCUUUUGGUUGUAAAGCACUUUAAGCGAGGAGGAGGCUACUUGGAUUAAUACUCUAGGAUAGUGGACGUUACUCGCAGAAUAAGCACCGGCUAACUCUGUGCCAGCAGCCGCGGUAAUACAGAGGGUGCGAGCGUUAAUCGGAUUUACUGGGCGUAAAGCGUGCGUAGGCGGCUUCUUAAGUCGGAUGUGAAAUCCCUGAGCUUAACUUAGGAAUUGCAUUCGAUACUGGGAAGCUAGAGUAUGGGAGAGGAUGGUAGAAUUCCAGGUGUAGCGGUGAAAUGCGUAGAGAUCUGGAGGAAUACCGAUGGCGAAGGCAGCCAUCUGGCCUAAUACUGACGCUGAGGUACGAAAGCAUGGGGAGCAAACAGG